CAGCCGCCGCGGGAAUACGAAGGGUGCAAGCGUUACUCGGAAUUACUGGGCGUAAAGCGUGCGUAGGUGGUGGUUUAAGUCCGUUGUGAAAGCCCUGGGCUCAACCUGGGGAUUGCAGUGGAUACUGGGUCACUAGAGUGUGGUAGAGGAUAGUGGAAUUUCCGGUGUAGCAGUGAAAUGCGUAGAGAUCGGAAGGAACAUCUGUGGCGAAGGCGACUAUCUGGGCCAACACUGACACUGAGGCACGAAAGCGUGGGGAGCAAACAGGAUUAGAUACCCCGGUAGUCCCUGUCUCUUAUAC
rnacentral:rRNA from 1 species